rnacentral:lncRNA from 1 species
GGCUCAAAAUUAUUUUUGUACCCACCCUUCUUCUUGAUAAACUCCAAUCCUACGCUCAGUUAAUUCAACAUACACAUUCAUCUUUUUGAAGGUGUAAGGAUAAAGAUGGUGAUUCAAGGUCUCUUGAAAUGGCAGCCACCUUAUUUUGUUUUUUUGAAUGUCGGUGACCCUUUGAUUUUGGUAUGGUGGUCACUGAAUCUUGUUUUGGUUUUGCUGAGGAUUUUCGUGACCUCUUUUGAUUUUU